rnacentral:rRNA from 1 species
CAGAUGUGAAAUCCCCGGGCUCAACCUGGGAACUGCAUCUGAUACUGGCAAGCUUGAGUCUCGUAGAGGGGGGUAGAAUUCCAGGUGUAGCGGUGAAAUGCGUAGAGAUCUGGAGGAAUACCGGUGGCGAAGGCGGCCCCCUGGACAAAGACUGACGCUCAGGUGCGAAAGCGUGGGGAGCAAACAGGAUUAGAUACCCUGGUAGUCCACGCCGUAAACGAUGUCGACUUGGAGGUUGUGCCCUUGAGGCGUGGCUUCCGGAGCUAACGCGUUAAGUCGACCGCCUGGGGAGU